rnacentral:misc_RNA from 1 species
AAAAGCUAUGUUAUGAAAAUUAGUAAGCUACUGCUCAAUUUGUACAGUUACAUGACGAAUCUUGUAUGUUUUUUCACAGUAAUCCCUAAUUCUGUUGAGUAUUUCAGUAGAGCUGGCUCCAGGCUCAGCUACUACAUGGCAAGACAACACUAACUUCCCUACUGUGAUAGCCCAAAUAUGCAGGUCAUGAAUAUCUUGUACUCCUUCUAUACACUUUAGACUACUCUCCACCCCGCAAACACUCAUCUGAUGGGGAGUCUUCUCCAUUAGUAUGCUAAAUACGUCCAUAAGCAUGGGUAUGGUUGAGCAUAGAACAAAAGCNNNAGACAAGGGUGCAAAUUAGAUCAACCACCAACCAAUCAGGCUUCACCCAUAUAACUACUCCAGCAAACAUCACCCCAACGGAUUGAAUUAGAUCAGCCAUGACAUGUAGAUAAGCUCCUUGGAUAUUUAUGUUUAAUAUUUUUCUUUUUGCUGGAGAACUUGGUAUCAACUUGGUCCCCUCUUCAUUUACCCCACAUAAAUCCUCACCGUCAUGACUGUGAAUGUGAUCAUGAUUAUGAUCAUGGCAAGCAUGAUGAGAGUGAUCAUGACCCAACCAUAUUACCAUGACUAAGUUAAUGAUGAAUCCAAAGGCUGCAAUUGCAAACAUGAGUCCUCCACUUACCUCUGAAUUUUUGUGAGAAUUCUGUUGAUUGCUUCAUAAAAUAAGAUUCUGGAG